rnacentral:rRNA from 1 species
GACGAACGCUGGCGGCGUGCUUAACACAUGCAAGUCGAACGGAAAGGCCCUGCUUGCAGGGUACUCGAGUGGCGAACGGGUGAGUAACACGUGGGUGACCUGCCCUGCACUUCGGGAUAAGCCUGGGAAACUGGGUCUAUUACCGGAUAUGACCUUCCAUGUAGUGUGGGGGGUGGAAAGAUUUAUCGGUGUGGGAUGAGCUCGCGGCCUAUCAGCUUGUUGGUGGGGUAAUGGCUUACCAAGGCGUCGACGGGUAGCCGGCCUGAGAGGGUGGACGGCCACAUUGGGACUGAGAUACGGCCCAGACUCCUACGGGAGGCAGCAGUGGGGAAUAUUGCACAAUGGGCGGAAGCCUGAUGCAGCGACGCCGCGUGGGGGAUGACGGCCUUCGGGUUGUAAACCGCUUUCGACAGGGACGAAGCUUCGGUGACGGUACCUGUAUAGGAAGCACCGACUAACUACGUG